rnacentral:rRNA from 1 species
ACGCUGGCGGCGUGCUUAACACAUGCAAGUCGAACGGAAAGGCUCCUGCUUGCAGGGGUACUCGAGUGGCGAACGGGUGAGUAACACGUGGGUGAUCUGCCCUGCACUUCGGGAUAAGCCUGGGAAACUGGGUCUAAUACCGGAUAGGACGAUGGUUUGGAUGCCAUUGUGGAAAGUUUUUCGGUGUGGGAUGAGCUCGCGGCCUAUCAGCUUGUUGGUGGGGUAAUGGCCUACCAAGGCGUCGACGGGUAGCCGGCCUGAGAGGGUGUACGGCCACAUUGGGACUGAGAUACGGCCCAGACUCCUACGGGAGGCAGCAGUGGGGAAUAUUGCACAAUGGGCGCAAGCCUGAUGCAGCGACGCCGCGUGGGGGAUGACGGCCUUCGGGUUGUAAACUCCUUUCGCUAGGGACGAAGCGCAAGUGACGGUACCUGGAGAAGAAGCACCGGCUAACUACGUG